GAUUCUAUUAUCUCCGAAAUUGAUCCCAGCAAGGAGUCAGCAAGACUAGUGAUUGCAGUCGUUCCUGUGUUUAGCUGGAGGAAGAGCAAUACAAUAAUAUCAAUCUAAGAGCGAUAUAUUUCAAAUUUGAUCAUGCUCAGGAUUCUGUACUCAAAACUUAUAACCGACAUCAAGACUAAUAGUCUACCACUGAGUCAGUGAAUCAUCAUUUUCUAUAAGCUGCUGAGUGAUCUAUUCUUGUUCUGCUCUUAAUGAUGUCGACAUGCUAACAGUGAAAGAUGGAGUAAAUGUGUACAAAGAUCUUGUCUCUGAAGAUUUUUAUCUGAUAUGACAAUAGAUUAACCUUCUGCUCCCAAAACAAGUUCAGGUAAGUAAAGUUUUAUCUAUGAUUACUGAAGCAGCGAAAAUUAUUCGCAGAUUUAUCAGUCUUAACUCGAAAGUUCAUAAAAACUUUUGUAAGUUAAGGAAAAAUUAAGAAGUCGAAAGCAUAGAAGAUUAAGGUCAUACCGACAUCCAACUGAAGCAGCUGUUUGCAACGAGCUAGCAAAGCUGAGAUGCGCAUCCAAACUUGUACUGCUAACUUCCUCUAGAGAGACUUUCAGAAGGAUGAGGUGGUAAGCCAUUGAAUCAGUCAUUGACAGUUAACCAUAUAUUAUCUUAUACUCUUGAAAGCGAUUUUCCUUGCCAGAAUAUUUAUACAUAACCUAAUCUAUCUCACCAUGCCCCCACCAUGUAUGAAUGUCAAAUGCUUUUAGGUAGAUAACUUGACGAAGAAAGCAAGCUACAGAAGAAAAUAGGCUGACUAGGUCAGCUCCAGUUGCUGGGAACAGUGUUGAACAAUUGUUUUGAGUUAUGGUUUAAGGUUUGUUGACUUUGAUCCGAAAUUUGAUCAAGGAAUAAAGGGUUGCUUAUGUUUAAGAGGUCUGCAAUAUGUCUAUAUCUUCACCGAAGCUGAUAUGCUUGAUGGGUCAGUGUGGUGUGCAAGGCUAGAUAAGUAGAUAGCACAAAGCCUUUAUGGGACAUUUACUGGCUUUCUUCUUCAUAUUUUUGUAUUUUAGGAAUCCUAAUUUUGUCCUAACACAAUUGUAUUAUUAUACGUUUAUUUUUAGUCAAUAUGAAACUUAAAAAAUGAUCCUA